UACGGAGGGUGCAAGCGUUAUCCGGAUUUACUGGGUUUAAAGGGUGUGUAGGCGGGUCUUUAAGUCAGUGGUGAAAUCUCCGAGCUCAACUUGGAAACUGCCAUUGAUACUAUUGAUCUUGAAUUCUGUUGAGGUGGGCGGAAUAAGUCAUGUAGCGGUGAAAUGCAUAGAUAUGACUUAGAACACCAAUUGCGAAGGCAGCUCACUAAACAGAUAUUGACGCUGAGGCACGAAAGCGUGGGGAUCAAACAGG
rnacentral:rRNA from 1 species